GUCCUCGGGGUUGGAAUCUUCAAAGCGGGACCAGUCGGCAUGAUUGUUCAAUUCUUCCAUGACAACGCGUUGGGAUCGAUUGACGAGGCCUAAAGCUUCGUAAUGGGAUACAUUGUCAUCGCAAGUUGGACCUACAUUGCGGGAACGAGUUGGACAUUCUGACCACAAAAAAAAUAUCCGGAGAGAAUUUGCAAUAAAAUUCAUUUCCAAUUUUA